GUGAGGAAUAUUGCGCAAUGGGGGAAACCCUGACGCAGCGACGCCGCGUGAGUGAAGAAGGCCUUCGGGUCGUAAAGCUCUGUCUAGUGGGAAGAACUGUCAUGCGGUUAAUACCCGUGUGAUUUGACGGUACCACUGAAGGAAGCACCGGCUAACUCCGUGCCAGCAGCCGCGGUAAUACGGAGGGUGCAAGCGUUGUUCGGAAUUACUGGGCGUAAAGGGCGCGUAGGCGGCUAUUUAAGUCAGGUGUGAAAGCCCACGGCUCAACCGUGGACGUGCAUCUGAAACUGGAUGGCUUGAGUAUCGGAGAGGAGAGUGGAAUUCCCGGUGUAGAGGUGAAAUUCGUAGAUAUCGGGAGGAACACCAGUAGCGAAGGCGACUCUCUGGCCGAAUACUGACGCUGAGGCGCGAAAGCGUGGGGAGCAAACAGGAUUAGAUACCCCGGUAGUCC
rnacentral:rRNA from 1 species